AUUUUUAUUUGUUGUUUAUUUUUAAAAUAGAUUUCUACUGUUAUAUUAGUUAAGAUAACUUUUUCUUUUCCCUAAUUUAUCGUUAAUAUUGUCAAAAUGCGAUAACUGAGUAAAAUAAACAAGAAAAUAAAAGUCAAAGGCGGUAUAAAAUAAAAUUCCAUAACCCUAAUACACAAAUUUUACAGCCAUUUCUCUGAACCAUACCUCAACUAUUCACUUUGUCCCCAUAUUGGAAAAUUUGCAAUUCUUGAUUUUGCAGAUAUAUAUAUUAAAGUUCAAAUUCUUAUUAAAGCUUAUUUCUUCUGCUUGUUCACAAAUCUAAAAAGAGGAAAGAAGAAAAUGGACAACGGUGAAAUCCCAGAAAAUGCUCCUGAACAUUGUCCAGGUCCACAAUCUGAGACAGCAGGGAAAUCCGAUGCUUGUCAAGGAUGUCCUAAUCAAGAAGUUUGUGCUACUGCUCCUAAAGGACCUGAUCCUGACUUGGUGACAAUAGUAGAAAGAAUGGUAACUGUGAAGCACAAAAUACUGGUUUUAUCUGGCAAAGGUGGAGUUGGUAAGAGUACAUUCUCAGCUCAACUUGCUUUUGCAUUGGCGGCUAUGGAUUUCCAAGUAGGUCUUCUUGACAUUGAUAUAUGUGGCCCCAGCAUCCCCAAGAUGCUUGGUCUCGAAGGUCAAGAGAUUCACCAGAGUAAUAUUGGAUGGUCACCUGUUUAUGUUGAGUCUAACCUUGGGGUUAUGUCAAUUGGUUUCAUGCUCCCCAACCCCGAUGAAGCUGUCAUAUGGAGAGGGCCUCGCAAGAAUGGUCUAAUUAAACAAUUCCUCAAAGAAGUUUUCUGGGGAGAACUCGAUUUUCUUGUGGUUGAUGCUCCACCGGGGACAUCAGAUGAGCAUAUUUCAAUCGUUCAGUUCCUCCAAGCAACUGGAAUAGAUGGUGCAGUUAUAGUCACAACCCCACAACAGGUAUCUCUGAUAGACGUGAGGAAAGAAGUUAGUUUCUGCAAGAAAGUCGGGGUGGAGGUUCUCGGUGUUGUUGAGAACAUGAGUGGUCUUUCCCAGGCACUCUCAGAAUUCAAAUUCACGAGAAUAACAGAGACUGGCGAGCAGAAAGACAUGACCGAGUGGGCCAUGUCUUAUAUCAAAGAAAAUGCCCCAGAAAUGCUGAACUUGAUUGCCUGUAGUGAAGUUUUUGAUAGUCGUGGCGGAGGUGCUGCAAAGAUGUGUAAUGAUAUGGGCGUCCCUUUUCUCGGGAAAGUACCACUGGAUCCUCAACUUUGUAAAGCAGCUGAAGAAGGACGAUCUUGCUUUUCAGAUGAUAAAUGUCGCGCAAGUGCCCCUGCACUCAAGAUGAUAAUUGAGAAGAUGUUGGCUCAGAAAAAGAUCUCAACAGAGAAUGGAGCAUAGUAUUUAUUACCUUCUUUAGCUCUGUACCUUUUCUUUGAUCAAGUUCUGGGGUACUUGUGAGCUAACGUUUACUCUAGAUACGGAUGUAUUAUACAGUUUCUAGCGAUUUUUAUACGAUGAUCUUUUAAACGGUUACUCUCUGGAACAAACUGCUCCUGCAUAAUUUAACCGGUACUUGUUCGAUGUUUGUGUUGGUGGAAGAUAACAGAUACUCGGUGGAUUAGUUGUUGUGUGCAAGUUGAUCCAAGAAGAAUGCUGCUAACCAAGAAAAUAAGAAUUAUUUAAAAUAUUUUCUUCGAGACAUUGAUGAGAUCUCCCGUUGUUGUGUUGUGCUUUUCUUUCUUUAAGCUGAAGAUCUUUAUUGAAAAUAAUCUCCUAUCUUUCAGGUAGGAAUAAUGUCUUCAUAUGCCUUCAUACUC